CAACACUCAAGGUCAGUUUGGCACCUGUGCCCAGCAGAAACGCUACGAAUGAUGCCAUCCCCAAGAUAAGAUUUCCCUUGAGGGUCGUAGGAGAUGACUACGUUGAUAGGCAGUAGGUGUAAAGGCAGUGAUGUCAAAGCCGAGCUGUACUAAUAGCCCGAAAGUCUUUCUUAG
rnacentral:rRNA from 1 species